AGAGUUUGAUCCUGGCUCAGGACGAACGCUGGCGGCGUGCUUAACACAUGCAAGUCGAACGAUGAAGCCCUUCGGGGUGGAUUAGUGGCGAACGGGUGAGUAACACGUGGGCAAUCUGCCCUUCACUCUGGGACAAGCCCUGGAAACGGGGUCUAAUACCGGAUAACACUUCCCUCCUCCUGGGGGGUGGUUAAAAGCUCCGGCGGUGAAGGAUGAGCCCGCGGCCUAUCAGCUUGUUGGUGAGGUAAUGGCUCACCAAGGCGACGACGGGUAGCCGGCCUGAGAGGGCGACCGGCCACACUGGGACUGAGACACGGCCCAGACUCCUACGGGAGGCAGCAGUGGGGAAUAUUGCACAAUGGGCGAAAGCCUGAUGCAGCGACGCCGCGUGAGGGAUGACGGCCUUCGGGUUGUAAACCUCUUUCAGCAGGGAAGAAGCGAAAGUGACGGUACCUGCAGAAGAAGCGCCGGCUAACUACGUGCCAGCAGCCGCGGUAAUACGUAGGGCGCAAGCGUUGUCCGGAAUUAUUGGGCGUAAAGAGCUCGUAGGCGGUCUGUCACGUCGGAUGUGAAAGCCCGGGGCUUAACCCCGGGUCUGCAUUCGAUACGGGCAGACUAGAGUGUGGUAGGGGAGAUCGGAAUUCCUGGUGUAGCGGUGAAAUGCGCAGAUAUCAGGAGGAACACCGGUGGCGAAGGCGGAUCUCUGGGCCAUUACUGACGCUGAGGAGCGAAAGCGUGGGGAGCGAACAGGAUUAGAUACCCUGGUAGUCCACGCCGUAAACGGUGGGAACUAGGUGUUGGCGACAUUCCACGUCGUCGGUGCCGCAGCUAACGCAUUAAGUUCCCCGCCUGGGGAGUACGGCCGCAAGGCUAAAACUCAAAUGAAUUGACGG
rnacentral:rRNA from 1 species